rnacentral:rRNA from 1 species
AUUGAACGCUGGCGGCAUGCUUUACACAUGCAAGUCGAACGGCAGCGCGGGCUUCGGCCUGGCGGCGAGUGGCGAACGGGUGAGUAAUACAUCGGAACGUGCCCAGUAGUGGGGGAUAGCUCGGCGAAAGCCGGAUUAAUACCGCAUACGACCUGAGGGUGAAAGCGGGGGAUCUUCGGACCUCGCGCUAUUGGAGCGGCCGAUGGCAGAUUAGCUAGUUGGUGGGGUAAAGGCCUACCAAGGCGACGAUCUGUAGCUGGUCUGAGAGGACGACCAGCCACACUGGGACUGAGACACGGCCCAGACUCCUACGGGAGGCAGCAGGGGGGAAUUUUGGACAAUGGGCGAAAGCCUGAUCCAGCAAUGCCGCGUGUGUGAUGAAGGCCUUCGGGUUGUAAAGCACUUUUGGCGGGAACGAAAAGGACUGUGCCAAUACCACGGUUCGAUGACGGUACCCGCAGAAUAAGCACCGGCUAACUACGUG